rnacentral:rRNA from 1 species
GAUGAACGCUGGCGGCGUGCCUAAUACAUGCCAGUCGAGCGAACAGACGAGGAGCUUGCUCCUCUGACGUUAGCGGCGGACGGGUGAGUAACACGUGGAUAACCUACCUAUAAGACUGGGAUAACUUCGGGAAACCGGAGCUAAUACCGGAUAAUAUAUUGAACCGCAUGGUACAAUAGUGAAAGACGGUUUUGCUGUCACUUAUAGAUGGAUCCGCGCCGCAUUAGCUAGUUGGUAAGGUAACGGCUUACCAAGGCAACGAUGCGUAGCCGACCUGAGAGGGUGAUCGGCCACACUGGAACUGAGACACGGUCCAGACUCCUACGGGAGGCAGCAGUAGGGAAUCUUCCGCAAUGGGCGAAAGCCUGACGGAGCAACGCCGCGUGAGUGAUGAAGGUCUUCGGAUCGUAAAACUCUGUUAUUAGGGAAGAACAAAUGUGUAAGUAACUAUGCACGUCUUGACGGUACCUAAUCAGAAAGCCACGGCUAACUACGUG